GACGAACGCUGGCGGCGUGCUUAACACAUGCAAGUCGAACGAAGUGGCGAACGGGUGAGUAACGCGUAAUCAACCUGCUCUUCAGAGGGGGACAACAGUUGGAAACGACUGCUAAUACCGCAAACUGAAGAUGGGGAUUGCGUCUGAUUGGCUGGUUGGGGGGGUAACGGGCCGACAAGGCGAUGAUCAGUAAGCGGUCUUGGGUGAGGGACGGCCACAUUGGGACUGGGAAACGGCCCAGACUCCUACGGGAGGCAGCAGGGGGGGAUCUUCCGCAAUGGGCGGAAGUCUGACGGAGCAACGGCGCGUGGGUGAUGACGGGCUUCGGGUUGGAAAGCUCUGUUAAUCGGGGCGCGGUACCGGAAUAGAAAGCCACGGCUAACUACGUGCCAGCAGCCGCGGUAAUUC
rnacentral:rRNA from 1 species